CGAAGCAGGCGAUGCAGCCGCGUCCGGUGAAUGCCGGAUGAGGAAAGUCCGAGCUUCACUGAGCAGGAUACCUCCUAACGGGAGGGCGGAGCAAUCCGACGGAAAGUGCAACAGAAAGCAUACCGCCUCGCGACUUCGGUCGCAAGGUAAGGGUGAAAUGGUGGUGUAAGAGACCACCGGCGGCGGGAGCAAUCUCGCCGGACCGGCAAACCCUAUCCGAAGCAAGACCAAAUAGGGGAGAAGAGCUGCUCAGACUCGUUAUUACUCCCGGGUAGGUUGCUUGAGGUUCCGUGCGAACGGGAUCCCAGAGGAAUGGCUGCAGGGCCUUAGGCCUGAACAGAACUCGGCUUACGGACUGCUUCGGAAU
rnacentral:RNase_P_RNA from 1 species